AAAAUAGUUGUAGUUUGGUCACAGUAAAAUAGGAGUAGGGAAGAAUAUCUGACAUUAAUUAAUUUAUCACCAGCAACAAGAACUUAACUGUCAAUUCCCAAUGGUUUUAAUUCUAAAGAGAUGUAAAACACUUGCUGCAUUAGAUCUUUUGAUUGCGAUAAAGAUAAAGGUGAAUGUAGCUAUAUCACCAUUAGUCUUUCUUGACCCCCAUUGUUAUUUUCUUCUGCCACUCUAAAUUACAGUAGGCUUUAAGUAUCUUCUCCCUAUAUUCA